UGUUACAGCCGCAUCACCCUGAGUGUGCCUGAGCUUGUCUGAUCUCAGAAGCUAAGCAGGGUUGGGCCUGGUUAGUGGAUGGGAGACCGCCUGGGAAUACUGGGUGCUGUAGGUC
rnacentral:rRNA from 1 species